CCGGCUNUCAUGACGUGACGGGCGGUGUGUACAAGGCCCGAGAACGUAUUCACCGCACCUUGCUGAUAUGCGGUUACUAGCAACUCCAACUUCAUGCAGGCGGGUUUCAGCCUGCAAUCCGAACUGAGGACAGCUUUGGGGAUUAGCUCCAGUUCACACUGUUGCAACCUAUUGUUCUGUCCAUUGUAGCGUGUGUGUAGCCCAAGAAUAUAAAGGCCAUGCUGACUUUGACGUCAUCCCCACCUUCCUUCCCCGUUUCGCGGGGCAGUCUCGCUAGAAAAUUUAACUAGCAACAAGGGUUGCGCUCGUUGCAGGACUUAACCAAACACCUCACUGGCACGAGCUGACGACAGCCAUGCAGCACCUGUGCAAACUCCUGACUUAACAGGUCGUUUCCCUUCGGUUCACUACUUCAUGCAUGUCAAAUCUUGGUAAGGUUCUUCGUGUAGCAUCGAAUAAACCACACGCUCCGUGCUGUGCGCCCCGUCGAUUCUUGAGUUUAGCCUUGCGACCGUACUCCCCAGCGACACUAAAGCGUAGCUUCGCACAGAGAGGUCGAUACUCUAUACUAGUGUCAUAGUUAAGCGGUGACUACCAGAGUAUCUAUUCUGUCGUCACGCUUUCAGCUAUGUCAGUGACACUANAACGCUGCUUU
rnacentral:rRNA from 1 species